rnacentral:rRNA from 1 species
UACGAAGGGGGCUAGCGUUGUUCGGAGUUACUGGGCGUAAAGGGUGCGUAGGCGGCCGUGUAAGUGUGGUGUGAAAUCUCCCGGCUUAACUGGGAGGGUGCGCUACAGACUGCAUGGCUAGAGUGUGGGAGAGGAAAGUGGAAUUCCUGGUGUAGCGGUGAAAUGCGUAGAUAUCAGGAGGAACACCGGUGGUGUAAACGGCUUUCUGGACCAUAACUGACGCUGAUGCACGAAAGCGUGGGUAGCAAACAGGG